GGCCCCUUGGUCAAGUGGUUAAGACAUCGCCCUUUCACGGCGGCGACACGAGUUCGACUCUCGUAGGGGUCACCA
rnacentral:tRNA from 2 species